UAGCACAGAACUUAGCCACUGCUUUGCCUCCAUGGCCAUCAUAAACGCCAAAGAAGGAUGUGGAACUGUCCAAAUCUGGAUAAGCUGCAUGAGCAUCUUCCAUGGUUGCACGCCAACCUUGCAUGGAUGACAGGAUAACCCAUAUCGAAGUUUAUGAUUCUCACCAUCUUCUGAGGCCUUUUCAGUUUUAGGGGAGCUGAGAUAUAUCCCCAUCUCUCGC
rnacentral:misc_RNA from 1 species